GAUGAACGCUGGCGGCGUGCCUAAUACAUGCAAGUCGAGCGAACAGAUGAGGAGCUUGCUCCUCUGACGUUAGCGGCGGACGGGUGAGUAACACGUGGAUAACCUACCUAUAAGACUGGGAUAACUUCGGGAAACCGGAGCUAAUACCGGAUAAUAUAUUUAACCGCAUGGUUCAAUAGUGAAAGACGGUUUUGCUGUCACUUAUAGAUGGAUCCGCGCCGCAUUAGCUAGUUGGUAAGGUAACGGCUUACCAAGGCGACGAUGCGUAGCCGACCUGAGAGGGUGAUCAGCCACACUGGAACUGAGACACGGUCCAGACUCCUACGGGAGGCAGCGGUAGGGAAUCUUCCGCAAUGGGAGAAAGCCUGACGGAGCAACGCCGCGUGAGUGAUGAAGGUCUUCGGAUCGUAAAACUCUGUUAUUAGGGAAGAACAAAUGUGUAAGUAACUAUGCACGUCUUGACGGUACCUAAUCAGAAAGCCACGGCUAACUACGUG
rnacentral:rRNA from 1 species